rnacentral:rRNA from 1 species
CCGGCGACCGGCGCACGGUGAGUAACACGUAUGGAACCUGCCCGCAGCAAGGGGGAGUAAGCGGAAGAAAUUCCGUCUAAUACCGCGUAACAACGUUGGGAGGCAUCUCCCGAUGUUUAAAGAUUUAUCGGCUGCGGAUGGCCAUGCGGCGCAUUAGCUAGUCGGCGGGGUAACGGCCCACCGAGGCGACGAUGCGUAGGGGUUCUGAGAGGAAGGUCCCCCCACACUGGUACUGAGACACGGACCAGACUCCUACGGGAGGCAGCAG